rnacentral:lncRNA from 1 species
GAGGAGCAUCUUACGUUCAAGCACUUUUGUGUGAAGAGGCAGCUUGAGUUCAAGCUUGUCCUCUUGAUUCUCAGGAGGAACCCUUUAACAUCCUUGAGAACAUAAAAAUCUUAACAAAGCAAGCACUAUGUUUGCAGUCCUUCUCCUGAAUAUGCAAAUUCUUUCUCAGAAUGUAGAUUUACUUCAACCACAUGCUUCAAAGUUCCCUAGCAAAAAAAACAAACAAACUCCAGAAUACAUAAGUUUGCAUCAUAGAAGUAUAAAGCUAUGAGAAGCAUUGUAGUGUAUACUCACUUCGAGCAAACUAACAGCCACCGUAAUUCUUUCAAGUUUUUCUAAUGACAUUAUCAUCCACGUAGUUCUGUUACAAUAUACAUAGUACGUCAGCAGUCCGACAAUUAGUAUUCAGGUCCUAUAUACCAUCUAAGAAAAUGCAAGCAUGUUUUCUUCCUACUGGUAGCAUGUUCCUUUGAUUGUUCAAAGUAUAUAUCCGGUCAUGUUUGACUAUAUUUAGAAAAUAAUGCAUUGUCCCAGAUUGAGAUUAAUCAUGAUGUUACAUUGGCAAAUACAUUGUGUACAUUGAGAUAUUUUUUCUAACAGUAGCGACAAUAACAGAUAUUGUCGCGCAACAAUAACAAUAAAGGAAUCCAAUUGAUCUCCUCGGUAUCCUCAUACGAGUUGUCGCUGUUCAUAACAUAGCUUUACCCGAUGAUACCCACCUCAUGGGAGUCUAGGUAUCUUCAAUUCCUAAGCCUGCUCGAGGACGGGAUUCGGCGGUCAGCGCUUUUUUGGCCAUGUACAGGUUGCCUAAUAUGCCAAUUGAGCAGAGCACGGCACGGAUGAAAAUCUCAUAGUAGCAAAUUCUCAAUCCAGAUAUGAGGGAUUUCUCGUGAUAACUACUACUCCCUCUGUUCACUUAUAUAAGACGUUCAAGCCUCUUCAGACAGUGUUCUAAACAGUUCAAAACCAGCUGCCUUAAAUGCCUUAUAAAAACGAACGGAGGGAGUACCACUAAUGGAAUGGUCUAAACACGAUUAAGCUAGAAGAGACGACCAAACCUAAGGAUGUAGCCUGUAGCGCGCGUCUAGAGACUCCUCACACACAUUUUUGGGAUCUGAAGCUGCCACCUUAAACCAUCUAGUAGUCCUCGGAAUACUAUACUGAAAAUUGUUGUCUAAAUUUUAAACACCGCGUGUUCCAACCCUUUGCCUACAAUGCUAUUAUGAAUCAGAAUAUAUGUGUGAUUUUUUAAAACAAAGUUAAUUGUACUUAGCAGGGCCAUAACAAGAGCAUAUCAACCGACAUUUGUUCUUACCAGCACCAAAAGAAAGGAAAAAUGCAAGGCAAGCACUCCCUCCAUUCCAAAAUAAGCAUCUUUGAUUUAGUACAAGUUUGUAAAGUUUAUUAAAUCAAAGACACUUAUUUUGGGAUGGAGGGAGUAUAUCAGUACACGACAAAAAUAUUAACAUGUCAAAUGAUGAAAAAUAAAACUAACUUUAAAACUAAUCUGUCCUUUUAAAAAAGGCAUAGUAACAAGAAAAAUCGAUGCAAGCCAAAAUUGUUUAUUGUACUACUUUCCUUAGUAGUUGAUACCAGAAUGCGGUAAAACAAUAAAUUAAUUGCCUGAUUUAUUGUACUACAGUUUGCUGUGGGUCUACAACCAAACCACUGGUUAAAGUUAGAAAGAUGAACAGAUAAUAAAAUUUGUAUUCAAGCAACACGGACAAUAAAAAUUAUCUGAAUGUGCACAUCUACGUUCAUGCUGAAAGAAAUCAAAGAGAAGCGAUAAUCACCUUAUAUGUCCAGAUCUCCUUAUCGGUUUCUCUUUAUGAGCAGUUGGCUGCCUUCUUGUUUACCAGGCCUGAAAAAUCACACCAACCACCAAACCAAUCUAUCAGUAGCACCAGAGACAUCCAUAAUUCAUUCGAUCAGGAGAGGGGAAACAGCGAC